rnacentral:sRNA from 1 species
CGCCCGAGUCCUUCGCCGCUCACUGGUCUCUCUCCGAACCCUUUCUCCCCUUCCCCUUUCUUGAGCUUCCGCCCCCUCGCUGAACCUCCACUUCCUCACCAAGGCCUUAUCCCUCGCCCGUGACCCCCUCAUUGAGCCCUCCUUCUCCUUCCCUGAGUCCCCAUCGCCCUCCUGGAGCCCCAGUCACCCACUGAGCCCCUCCGUCGUCAGUAUCCCUCGGGGCAGUUCCAGUUCCUUCCUGCCCUGCAUCCCUUUCCCUGAGUCAGCGAGAGCCCUUCCCCCAAGUCCUCUCAGCUCCUCCCUCCUGAGCCCCAACAGUCUCCCCGGCCCUGCUUGGCAGAUGGUCCCACCUGUCAGGAGCUUGGCAUCGCCGAGUGCGCUCCUCAAGUAGGCCCAGGGCCCGUCAGCUACAGAACCAGGAGUCGGUGCGCGCGCUGCUGAAGCGCACGGAGGCAGAGCUGAGCAUGCGCGUGUCGGAGGCGGCGCGGCGGCAGGAGGACCCGCUGCAGCGGCAGCGCACCCUGGUGGAAGAGGAACGGCUGCGCUAUCUCAACGACGAGGAGCUUAUUACCCAGCAGCUCAAUGACCUGGAGAAAUCGGUGGAGAAGAUCCAGAGGGACGUGUCCCACAACCACCGGCUGGUGCCCGGCCCUGAGCUGGAGGAGAAGGCACUGGUGCUGAAGCAGCUCGGGGAGACGCUGACAGAGCUCAAGGCUCACUUCCCGGGCCUGCAGAGCAAGAUGCGGGUGGUGCUGCGUGUGGAGGUGGAGGCGGUGAAGUUCCUGAAGGAGGAGCCCCAGCGCCUGGAUGGGCUCCUCAAGCGCUGCCGCGGGGUCACGGACACGCUGGCCCAGAUCCGAAGGCAAGUUGAUGAGGGUGUGUGGCCACCCCCCAACAAUCUCCUGAGUCAGUCCCCCAAGAAGGUGGCGGCAGAGACUGACUUCAACAAGAGUGUGGACUUCGAAAUGCCACCCCCCAGCCCCCCGCUGAACCUGCAUGAGCUGAGCGGGCCAGCUGAAGGAGCCUCUCUUACCCCCAAGGGGGGCAACCCCACCAAAGGCCUGGACACUCCUGGCAAGAGAAGCGUGGACAAAGCUGUGUCUGUUGAGGUGCUGGGGCCAGGGAUUGUGGGUGGGGCCAUGAGCCAGGUUCACACAUUCUUACGACCAUCCUUCCUAGAGUGGGGAGUGCCAAUCCUGUGGGUCUUUUUCCUUGGGGGAGGAGGGCCAGUGCCCUAAUGGAAGCCUAAGAAGCAUAAUGAGGGUGACAUUAGCCCUCCUAGACAGAAAGCGUAUUAUAAAGCUACAAUAAUCAAA